AUUGAACGCUGGCGGCAGGCCUAACACAUGCAAGUCGAGCGGAUGAAGGGAGCUUGCUCCUGGAUUCAGCGGCGGACGGGUGAGUAAUGCCUAGGAAUCUGCCUGGUAGUGGGGGAUAACGUCCGGACACGGGCGCUAAUACCGCAUACGUCCUGAGGGAGAAAGUGGGGGAUCUUCGGACCUCACGCUAUCAGAUGAGCCUAGGUCGGAUUAGCUAGUUGGUGGGGUAAAGGCCUACCAAGGCGACGAUCCGUAACUGGUCUGAGAGGAUGAUCAGUCACACUGGAACUGAGACACGGUCCAGACUCCUACGGGAGGCAGCAGUGGGGAAUAUUGGACAAUGGGCGAAAGCCUGAUCCAGCCAUGCCGCGUGUGUGAAGAAGGUCCUCGGAUUGUAAAGCACUUUAAGUUGGGAGGAAGGGCAGUAAGUUAAUACCUGGCUGUUUUGACGUUACCAACAGAAUAAGCACCGGCUAACUUCGUG
rnacentral:rRNA from 1 species